rnacentral:rRNA from 1 species
UACGGAGGAUCCAAGCGUUAUCCGGAUUUAUUGGGCUUAAAGGGUGCGUAGGCGGCCUAUUAAGUCAGGGGUGAAAGACGGUAGCUUAACUAUCGCAGUGCCUUUGAUACUGAUGGGCUUGAAUACACUAGAGGUAGGCGGAAUGUGACAAGUAGCGGUGAAAUGCAUAGAUAUGUCACAGAACACCAAUUGCGAAGGCAGCUUACUAUGGUGCAAUUGACGCUGAGGCACGAAAGCGUGGGGAUCAAACAGG